rnacentral:rRNA from 1 species
GGGGCUGUCGCUGACCCUUCAAGGGGGGUCGUGCACRCCCUUUUGCCAUCUAUACAUCCCCUUGUGCAUCACCGCGUGGGCUUCUUUUGCCUACGUUUUUCAUACAAACUUGAUUUAAAGUAAUAGAAUGGUUAUUAUUAUGCGAUUAAUAUAACUUUCAACAACGGAUCUCUUGGCUCUCGCAUCGAUGAAGAACGCAGCGAAAUGCGAUACGUAAUGUGAAUUGCAGAAUUCAGUGAAUCAUCGAAUCUUUGAACGCACCUUGCACCCUUCGGUAUUCCGAAGGGUACGCCUGUUUGAGUGUCAUGAAACCUUCAAACCUUUUCUCUUGAAUUUGGGAAAAGGCUUGGACUUUGGAGGUCACUGCUGGCAAGAUCUGUCAGCUCCUCUUAAAAGAAUUAGCAGGGUCCCCUUUUAACCGAUCCUUGAUGUGAUAAGGUUUUCCUACAUCUAAUGGGUUUCGGCUUUGUAAAGGCCUGCUUAUAAUAUCUUUAACGAACCAUUUGACCUCAAAUCAGGCGAGACUACCCGCUGAACUUAAGCAUAUAUCA